rnacentral:misc_RNA from 1 species
AAGUCGUAACAAGGUCUCCGUUGGUGAACCAGCGGAGGGAUCAUUACCGAGUUCUUACAGAACCCAACCCUUGUGUGAUAAGCUCUCACCCAGCUUUUACAUGGGAGUCUCGGCCUAAUCGCCGAGGCAGUGUAAAAAAAAAACCUCUGUAUCAUUAUCACAAAUUUCUGAAGACUUUUUAAAAGAGUCAAAACUUUCAACAACGGAUCUCUUGGUUCUG